rnacentral:rRNA from 1 species
AUGUACUCCAGAAACAGAGACAGAAGCAGAAAGUUGUUGGGCAAACAGAUCAUCCAAGGAUGGAUAAGCAAGCCUCUUGUCACGGGGCAGAGCAGAUGCAUGUACCAUGUGUCUCCAAUUUGCUACUCAUGUACGUAUAUCCAUAUAUUAUCCAAAAAGACACUCCAGGCGUAUACACAGCAGAGGGGAGAGGACGAGCUCAUCGAAUUGGAUACUCUAAAACUCCAAUUUUCUGCAGCAAACGGGAGACCCCGGCCUGUGAAUUAUUUGGGGAAUUUCUUUCCUACAAUGUUGCUAUGGCACGGGGAAUUUCCCUCCUAUGCUCAUUAA